rnacentral:rRNA from 1 species
UACGGGGGGGGCAAGCGUUGUUCGGAAUUACUGGGCGUAAAGGGCUCGUAGGCCGCCAACUAAGUCAGACGUGAAAUCCCUCGGCUUAACCGGGGAACUGCGUCUGAUACUGGAUGGCUUGAGGUUGGGAGAGGGAUGCGGAAUUCCAGGUGUAGCGGUGAAAUGCGUAGAUAUCUGGAGGAACACCGGUGGCGAAGGCGGCAUCCUGGACCAAUUCUGACGCUGAGGAGCGAAAGCCAGGGGAGCAAACGGG